rnacentral:tmRNA from 1 species
GGGGGCGACCGGUUUCGACGGGGAUAUUGACGCCAUCGUCGCAUGUCGAGAUCUCGGGAACUCGUAAAAUUCCGGGAAAAACGCAACUGCCAACCAAGAACUGGCACUCGCAGCCUAAUUUAGGCUGAGACGUCGUUCCAUCUGAGGUCCGCGGGGGUGGAAUGGCGCGAUGCAGCGGACUGGUCCCACGCCGAUGCUCAGCGGCGGGGGGCGAGACAAUACUGGGCUAGCGGCGAUUCUAAGCCGGCCGAUAGGCGUGGGUCGCUGCGAAGCUUAAAGAAUCGGCUACACAUGUAGACGCGAUGUGCCGACGAUCUUCGGACAGGGGUUCAACUCCCCUCGCCUCCACCA